CCUACGGGGGGCAGCAGUGGGGAAUAUUGCGCAAUGGGGGAAACCCUGACGCAGCAACGCCGCGUGCGGGAUGAAGGCCUUCGGGUUGUAAACCGCUUUCAGCAGGGAAGAUCCAAGACGGUACCUGCAGAAGAAGCCCCGGCUAACUACGUGCCAGCAGCCGCGGUAAUACGUAGGGGGCAAGCGUUAUCCGGAUUCAUUGGGCGUAAAGCGCGCGCAGGCGGGUUGCUAAGCGGGACCUCUAAUCUCAGGGCUCAACCUUGAGCCGGGUCCCGAACUGGCAGCCUCGGGUUCGGUAGGGGAGG
rnacentral:rRNA from 1 species